rnacentral:scRNA from 1 species
AUCAUACCUGGUCCCCUUCGACC